rnacentral:rRNA from 1 species
GCCGUGAAACCCACCUUCUCGAAGGUACCCAAAGGUUGACCUCGGAUCAGGUAGGAAGACCCG